rnacentral:rRNA from 1 species
UACGUAGGGCCCGAGCGUUGUCCGGAAUCAUUGGGCGUAAAGAGCGCGUAGGCGGCUUGUUACGUCUUGCGUGAAAUCUCGGGGCUCAACCCCGAGCGGUCGUGAGAAACUGGCAGGCUAGAGUGCGGGAGAGGAGAGUGGAAUUCCUGGUGUAGCGGUGAAAUGCGCAGAUAUCAGGAAGAACACCCGUGGCGAAGGCGGCUCUCUGGAACGCAACUGACGCUGAGACGCGAAAGCGUGGGGAGCAAACAGG